AUACGAAGGGGGCUAGCGUUGCUCGGAAUUACUGGGCGUAAAGGGCGCGUAGGCGGAUGUUUAAGUUGGGGGUGAAAGCCCGGGGCUCAACCUCGGAAUAGCCUUCAAUACUGGGCAUCUUGAGUACGGGAGAGGUGAGUGGAACUCCGAGUGUAGAGGUGAAAUUCGUAGAUAUUCGGAAGAACACCAGUGGCGAAGGCGACUCACUGGCCCGUUACUGACGCUGAGGCGCGAAAGCGUGGGGAGC
rnacentral:rRNA from 1 species